AUGAUUAUCGUCUGGAAACAGCAUGUUCAAUUACAAAUUUUGUAUGAUAUUUACAGAAUAUCCCUUGCUCUGUGAAGAUACCAACUGAGAUGACAGUGGAGCUCCAGGAUAAGUCAUUGAGAGGAGCAACUUCAGAAAAGGAGGUGUGCCAACAGAUCGCCCACUGCCCUGGGAGUCAGAAAUGGCUCACGUAUACCUACUCAGGAAUCAGCCUGUAGGCAAACCACGGAGUGAGGCUGGGAGUGCCUGGGUGAAGGUGCUUGUGCACGUGGGAGGGGAGCGAGCACCUUCUCUUGGUGCCAACUCCCCACCCCCCAGGAGAAAGGCCAUGCUGAGAGAAGCAGAAAUGAGACCCUGCACACGGUGGAAAGUUUUCCAUUAAGGUAUUGUUUCUGUCAUCAUGUUGAUAUGACUCUGACCAAGUGAUAUCUCAAGGUUGAGAGGCAGAGAGAUGUGUGAAUCAGAAUCAACUGGGGAGAUUUUUCAAGCCACUCUCUCCCUGGCCCCAUCCUUCCAUCCCCCAGUUGCAAACUACUGUAACUGAAGAAAACUUCAGUGACUGGUUCCAGCAGGUAUGGGACAUCAGUAUUGGGUUCUAAAUAGUGGGAGAUGUGCACAUGGUGAUUAAGGUCAAUGUCUUCCGUUUCAGGAAAAGCUGAGUUUGAAUGUUGACCCCACUCCCUCAUUAACUAUAGGAUUUUGAACAAUCUAUUUCACCUUUAGAAGCCUUCAUUUCCCCACCCAUAAAGAACUUGCCUUUAAAAUUGGUUUGUGGCUGCCAUGUAGUUAGUACUCAAUAAAUAGUUCUGCCAUUGGUUCAUUGCUAACUCCAACCCCAACUGUCCACUCUGAACCAUGGAUUUCAGGCAAUCUUUGUCAUUCUCUCACAAAGGUUUAAUAGAUGUAGGAUAUAUGCUUAAAUAUACAAUUUUAAGGCUGGAAAUAACUCUAAAACCAUAACAAUUACCCUCACCAAACCCUCAUCUUAUGGUUAGAAAAACUGAGGCUCGGAAAAACAAGAGAUUUAUCCAAGGCUACAGGCUAUGUGGAAGGGCCAGGACUAGAGCCAUACCUUCUGGCUUCCAGUCUAGCGAUUUUCACUU